UCUGCUAAAAACAAACUUGGAUUCAUAGAUGGGACGUUAGUUAAACCAAAGGAAAAUUCUGAGUUUUUAAUCUGUGGACAAGGUGUAAUGAUAUGGUUUUUGCUUGGCUAUUAAAUUCUCUUACCAAGAAAAUUAGAUCUAGUGUAAUUCAUUCUAAGUCUGCACAUGAUCUAUGGAAACAGCUUGAGAAGAGAUAUGGACAAUCUAAUCUAGCGCAAUUAUUUGAUCUACAAAAACAAAUAAUGGAAACUGUACAAGGUUCAAACAAUAUUGCAACAUAUUUCAACAAUAUGAAAGGCAUAUGGGAUGAGAUUGAUCUACUUGAUUCUAGAGUUGUAUGCAGUUGUGUUGAUUGUAAGUGUGGGGCUGUAGAGAAAAACGUGCACUUGAAGAAAGGCAGAAAUUAGUGCAAUUCUUAAUGGGUCUUAAUGAGACAUAUACUGCAUGUAGAGGCAAUAUAAUGAUGAUGAAUCCCUCACCUGAUAUUGAUCGAGCUUAUUUUCUGUUACUACAAGAGGAAAGACAAAGAAGUAUACAACCUAUGGGGAUUUUACCUACAAACUCUAUCUCUUUCUCUGUUACUAGACAGUCAUCCAAUUUAGGGCAAGGCAAUCAGAGAUUCAAUAUGCAACAAGGAUCAUUUUACAGUACUUCAAAGCUCAAUUCCUAUCAGGACAAUCGGAGAAAUAAUUCAAGCUGCAAAUACUGCAAGAAGACAGGACAUACUAUAGAAAAAUGCUUAAGCUUCAAGGAUAUCCCACAAAUUUUCAACAGGGAGGAUUUAAGAACAACAAACCAAGGGAGAAUGUACAACCAACUUUUUAUAAUUCAGCACAUGGCAAUGCCAUCAACACUUAGCCAGACUCUACACAGCCUACAAAUACUGAUGUGUCUAUUGGAUUAAAUCAAGAGCAAAUUUCUCAAUUGAUGGAGAUACUACACCAAGUCAAAAUUGGCCAACAAACUACUUCUAAUUCUGAAGCAAAUAUGACAGUUAUCUGUGCUGGUAUUGCUUCCUUUACUAUCCUAACUACUUCUAAGAAUUCUAUUUGUCAUUUUUGGAUACAUGAUUCUGGUGCCUCAUAACACAUAACUUUUGAUGAAUCUAUUCUUUUCAACAUCAAACCAUUAUCACAACCUGUUUUUGUCAACCUACCUAAUUCUUUUAGGAUUAAAGUCACACAUGUUGGACGAUCUUGUAUCCAUCCCGAUCUCACUCUUAACAGAGUGCUUUUAGUUCCUAGUUUCAAAUUUAACCUUUUAUCAGUUCACAAACUAUGCUCACAAUUUAACAGUCUGCUUACCUUUUCUGCUACAUCUUGUUUCUUACAGGGCCCUUCCUUGAGGAGGCCUCUGGAUCCUGGUAAAGUGAAGGAUGGACUCUAUCUGCUGCAGACCUUUCAUCCCAUGUCUGGAACUCACCUGCAAACAAACCAAACAAUUUCAUUUCCUGUUAAUAAUUGUCAUCAGUCUGUUUGCACCCUGUUUUCUAAUUCUGAAUUUUCUUGUGGAACUUUAUGGCAUGUAAGACUUGGGCAUAUGCCCAUUUCAAGUAUGAAACACAUCUCUGUUCUACCACAGAAUGCUUUUGUUUCUAAUCCUCACCCUUGCUCUAUUUGUCCUCUAGCAAGACAACAUAAGCUACCAUUUCCUAAAUCACCUCUUCCACAUCACACAUAUUUGAACUUAUACAUAUUGACACUUGGGGACCCUAUAAAACAACUACUUAUGAUGGUUUUAAAUAUUUUCUAACCAUAGUGGAUAAUUUUAGUAGGGGAACUUGGACCUACCUUUUGAGCAACAACGACAAUGCUUUCACUAUUCUCAAAUCCUUUAUUGCCAUGGUGAAAGACAAUUUGACACCAACAUUAAAGUCAUUCGAUCUGAUAAUGCCUUAGAACUAGGGAGUGGUUCUACUGCUGCUGCUUAUUUUCAGUCUAAAGGGAUCAUUCACCAAACUAGUUGUGUAGCCACCCCUCAACAAAAUGGUAUAAUUGAGAGGAAACACAAACACCUACUUGAAACCUGUAGAGCCUUGCUAUUUCAAUCCAAAGUUCCUACCAUUUAUUGGGGUGAAUGCCUCUUAACUGCCACCUUUCUUAUUAACAGAUAUCCUACCAAAUUGCUUCACCACAAGACACCUUAUGAAAUUCUUUUUGGCAAAUCUCCUAACUAUAAUAUACUUAAGUGUUUUGGUUGCCUUUGUUUUGCCUCUACUUUGUCUCAUCAAAGAGGAAAACUUGAUCCUAGGGCUAUUGUCUGUGUAUUUCUUGGUUACCCUUUUGGGAAGAAAGGCUAUAAGCUCCUAAACUUGCAAACUAACCAUGUUUUUAUUUCUAGAAAUGUUGUGUUUCAUGAAUCCAUUUUUCCUUUUUCUGUUUUGCCUUCUACUUCUUACCCCCUCUUUCCUGUUUCCCCUACUAUGUCUUCUUCCAACUAUCUUCUCUCUAUCCCUUCUUCUCAUCCUAACUCUCCUCUUCCUAAUGAUUCUCAUCUGAGUCCAUCCUUAUCCUCCCCUCCUUCUUUUUCUUCUCUUCUUCCUUCCUCUUCUCCUACAUCUCCUAUACUAUUCCCCUCUAGUUCUGCCUCUUCAUCUACCUCCACUGAUACCUCUAUUCCUAUGUCCCCUACCCAUUCUGCACCUUCUCUUGUUCCUCUUGAGGCUCCCUUGCGCAGGUCAUUAAGAGAACACAAAACACCUGCCUACCUUUCAGAUUUUAUAUGCAAUGCUAUCCAUCUUACUGAUGUUUCUACCCCUUGCUUUCUUUCUCCUAUUUCACCUAAUGUUCUAUCCUUUUCCACCCUAUAUCCUCUCAGUCGUCAGCUUGUUAAUUCUAUUUCCCACAUUCAUGAACCCACUUCCUUUUCUCAAGCUGUUACUCAUCCUGGAUUGGCAAGAAGCCAUGGCUAAGGAAUUGGAUGCUUUAUUGUCCAAUGAGACUUGGACAAUAGUUCCUCUACCACCUGGGAAAAAGGCUCUACCCUGCAAAUGGGUUUAAAAAGUGAAACUUAAAUCUGAUGGCAGUGUUGAAAGGCUUAAGGCACGUUUGGUUAUUAGAGAUGACACUCAACGUGAGGGUAUUAACUUCACUGAAAUGUUCUCUCCGGUUGUUAAAAUGACUAUUAUUCGUUGCAUUCUCGCUAUUAUUGUUAAAAAGGGUUGGGGUCUUUAUCAACUCGAUGUUAAUAAUGCUUUUCUACACGAGGAUCUACACAAAGAAGUCUAUAUGAAAUUUCCUGCUGGUUUUCCUUCCCCCUCUCCCACUCAUGUUUGUCGCCUUAAGAAGUCUCUCUAUGGGCUUCGUCAGGCCUCGCGCCAGUGGUAUGCUAAGCUCACUGCUGCCCUCAAUUUUAAAGGGUUCUCCCACUCGCUCAAUGACUACUCUCUCUUCUACAAGAAGUCUGGUUCAUCUAUCUCACAAGUGGUUGUGGUUCAUCUGUCUCACAAGUGGCUGUGUACAUUGAUGAUAUACUACUUACUGGCAACAAUGAGCAAGAAUUGACUGAAUUGAAACAUUUCCUUGAUGCUGAAUUUAAAAUUAAGGAUUUAGGGCACUUAUCUUUCUUUUUGGUCAUGGAGAUUUUGCAGGAGCCUUCUGGUUUGCUUGUUAGCCAACGCAAAUGUACUUUUGAACUGCUCAUAGAAUUUUCUUGUUUGGAUCUUUCUCCAGUCACCUCCCCUUUGGACCCCUCUAUCAAGCUCUUUGCUGGAGUUGGUCCUCCUAUCCCUGAUCUUUCCAUUUAUCGUCGUCUUCAUGGUAAGCUCAACUUGCUCACUCAUACUAGGCCAGAUCUUUCUUUUGCUGUUCAACACCUAUAUCAGUUUAUGCAAGAUCCUCGUUCUCCUCACCUGGCUGCUGCCAUGCAUUGUCUUCGCUACCUCCUAAAAGAUCCUGGUCUUGGUCUUUUCAUGUCUUCUUCCCCUUCUUUUGAUCUUCUCGCUUUUUGCGACUCCGACUGGGGUUCUUGCCCUGAUUCUCGCCGUUCCAUUAGUGGUUUCUUCAUAAGUUUGGGUGGUUGUCCCAUUUCUUGGAAAUGCAAGAAACAACCUUCUGUUUCUUUGUCUUCCGCCGAGGCGGAGUAUCGCUCCAUGCGCCGUGUAGUGGCAAAAUUAACCUGGCUUCACCGCCUUCUUACGGAUAUCUCUGUGCCUCCCUCUUUACCGAUUCCCCUUCAUUCUGAUAGCCAAGCUGCGAUCCAUAUCGCUAAAACCCUGUUUUUCAUGAGAGGACGAAACACGUCGAACUUGAUUGCCAUUUUGUCCGCCAACAGUUUCAAUCUGGUCUCAUCUCCCUUUCCUUUCUUCCUACUCGUUCUCAAUUGGCCGAUAUCUUCACCAAACCUCUUUUUGGGCCUUCUCAUCGUGAGCUCCUGAGCAAGUUGGGGGUUCAAUCUCCCCCCUCCAACUUGAGGGGGGGGGGUGUUGACGAUGGUAUUCAAUUGAAAGAGAUCUCUGGUAGCUAGGUUUAUGCAAUGUAUCACAUGAUAUCAAAGUUGCCUCCUUAAACACAUUAACAGGGACACGUGGCUUCAUUAUAGCCAUUGCUCUUUACUUGUUUGUUUUAAUUUUAGCCAUAGAAUCUUCUUCUAGAACUUUCUUGUACAUAAACUAUAGUUAGUUUAUUUAGAGCACGUGUUUUGCCAGCUAGUGGAGGAACACAUGUAUAUAUAUAUAUAUAUUACAACACUGUACAGAAUAACCGUCUGAGAUAUCAAAUGCAAAGUAAUUUUACUUUCAAUUGCAUUUCUUCUUCUCUAAGUUUUACAUGGGGGAUACAAACAAUAAUCCUUUUCUCUGUUAGAGAUAAAAUGAGCGUUCUCUUUAGGGGAGAAGAAGAAGUUCUUCAUUUACCCCCACACAACCCACGUUGUUCUUUUUAUUAACUGUACAGUUUUUCUCUUCAAUAACUUCCUCCAAAGAGUUAAUUUUUAUCCCUUCCAAAAUGGGCGGAGUCAGCCCACGGAGGACCCAAGAUCCAACAUCCAAUAUCAUCCACUUUGCUCAUAGUAGGUUAGACUCAAAAGUAUAAUGUCAUAUCAAUAAGACACGUAGUUUAUAUUGGCAAAUUAUUUGUGCGGCUUGCAAGCAUCAAGAGCUGUAAAUUUUAUACCUAUUAAGGUUGUACAAAAGCUUCAUGUAUAAAUCCAAUCACAUGCGAAAAGGAUUCACUACUAACAUGAGAAUAUUAUUACUCCUCGCGAUGCUCCAAACAUCAUUCGCUACUUCAAUAGCUUAUUCAAUCCUUCAUCCUCGAAAAAGGUGAACUCAAGUUCAUUUAUAAUAUUGUACCACAAUUACAUUAAAUACCCUCAUGGUGAGUGUAAUGGGCGAACUGUGGAUACAAAUAAAAAACUAUUUUUGUUGUCCUUCCUUUCUACUCGAACCUAUAUGUUCCAGGUUAGCUGAUUUCCUAGACAUGUAUUGCAUUUCCUAAACAGUCAUGACUAUUAGUGACAUAUUAAAGUAACAACAACUUCAAAAGACAGUCAAAGGUCAAAGGGUACUUUAAUGAAAAGUUAAUGUAACUUUUUGGGAUCUCACACAAUGAAGAAGCAGGGAUUCAUUUUUCUACUACCGCAUUGGUCGCUUAGCACACGUGAUAUGAAACACAUAUUAUGAUGUCAUUACCUUAAUCUGGCGCAUAUGUGUCAUUCUCAAAUAUUAAAGACCGUACAGAUCUCUAAACGCCUCCAAAUGUUUAACCCAAAAUUUUCAUUCAAAAAAUCCUCAAAUCUAACCUUUUGAAAAACUCACAUCUAGCUUACAAAUAAGUCAUAAGGAUGGUGGAAUCUUAGUCUAAGCUCUAGUCAAGACCAACCAUUUUAUUAUGAUUCACGACCUUAUACAAAUCAAGGUUCCAAUAGGUCUUAUCUCUGCACGUUUCUAGAUGACAAGGGCGAUUGCUUGUGUGAAAGAGUUGAUCUCGCGAUUUGUUCGAUACAUUUAUAUUCUUCACAAGGAUAUCAUUACAUACAUACAGAAUAUCAGCAUAAUUGAUAGUUUAUAAGGGUCUACCAAACUCCAUAGAAAAUUAGGUUCUCUAUCAGGUUCAACAGUACAUACACACACAACAGUAAAUAAAUGACAAGAGAAAUUUUACAUGGAAAAUUCCUAGCUCAACGGGAUUAAAAACCACGACCUACUCUUGCAGGAUUUCAACUUCACUACUGAGCAACUUUCAGAUUAAAACCUAUGCAACCUAGGAAUUAAACUUUUAUCCCUCACUAACUUGUAAUACUCUAUUACAAGACACUUUGUAAUAACUCUAUUACAAAGACUUUACAACAUGACUAACUCUAACCAAGACUCAAACACUCUGGUUUAAGGUUUACAAAGGGUUCCUAUAGAAUGCUUCUAAAUAAGCUAGAUAGGAAUUACAAUUGAAGAACUAUUACAAAGUCACAACUCAACUAAGGACAUACAAUAACUCGAUAUGGGAACUGGUCUGUAGUUGCUUUGUUCUUUGUUCUUGAAGCACUUGAAACUCACAUGCUGGAUGUUCACGUCAGUAGUCUUUUUUUGUGAAAUCUCUAAGUGUUCAAGUGCUGUGUUUUACCUCCCUUGAAUGUAUAUAUACAUGUGUGACAUCACUUACAAUGAUGUAAGCAAUGUAGGUAAAACGUCUUCCCUGAAAAGUUGACUGCAGCACUGUUCCUACACUAUAGCAUGUGCAGGCAGAUCUUUUCCAGUUGGAGAGUUGACUUCGUACAUUCUCCUCGGGAACUGGUAGGGACCUGUUCCCUCAAUUGUCCCUUCCACUUUGAAGAGUUAAAUCAUACCGCAAGCUGGAUCUUAAACUAGAACCUUGUGAUCUUAAGGUCUUGUAAAUGUAUAAUAGGUUCCUUAUUUGGUUCGUGAUAUUAAGUUUGUUAUAUCAUCAAAACAUAAAGUAAAGUACUUAUGACCAAAGUACUUGUAACCUAUCAAUUUUUCCCUUUAAAAUGAUGACAAACUCAUAAUAUAAAAUCCCAGAAAGAGCCACAUAGAACCAGAAAGACCUUAAGUUUCCCCCUGAAGCUCUGCAUUCCCCCUUAAUCAGUGCAAUUAUUUUUCCCCUUUGGCAUCAUAAAAAGAUUAAAAAAAGGUAAGCAAGAAGGAAGUCCAGUUUUAAAUUAACUCAUGCCACUUAUGUGCACACAGUCAUGAUUAAGAACAGAGCAGAAAAGCACGGUAUAAACAACAACAAGGGAAAAGCUUGCAUUAACAUAGUUUUGGAUUUUAUAGCAAGAGUAGAAUCAAUGUUACUACCACAUCCACACAUUAGAACAAUUAACAAAACUACCACAAGUUAUCAUCAUAAGAACUAACACGGAGAGACUGGACACUGAGGGGACAGUUUUAAGAAGCACUGGGAGGAGAAGGUUUGGAAGCAGAGGAAAUUGUUUGGAGGACUAAAUCCAUUCGUGCAUUUGCUGAAAUUUUCUCAUUGAGCAGUCUUUCUUUCAGGCCCUCCACUUGUUUCCUGAGCUCAGCAUUCUCCUUUGUCAGGUGAGCAACAUCUUCGUUCUGAGAGUGACUGGAACCAGGUGCCUCUUGCAGCUAACUUAUCUGAGUCUCAAGGAUAGCAUUUCUUGCUUUUAAUUGCCUUAUCUUAGUAGUAGCACUAUUUUGAGCAUUUAUUAACUGAGAAAUAGUAGAAGUGCUUGCAACCUCUCCAAAUUCUUCUAUACACUCACAUUCUUCAAGAGUGCAUUUUGAAAAAGUUUGCUUCUUGGCACCCACUUUAACUAGUCUGAAAGGAACCUUGAAGUGAUCAAAGACCUUGGUAAGAAGGAAACCAUAUGGUAGCCCAUGAUUACCAUCUUUAAAGUCAGCCACUUUGUUCAUGUGUUUUAUCAUGAUCCUAAGCAUAUUGAUGGUAGUAAAGUCAUCUAGUGCUUCCAUGAGGAACAGGUCUGCAUGAGAUGUGAUGGAUCUUCGCUCAGCUCGAGGCAGCAACACUUUGUUUACCAUCUCAAAUAGCAGUUGGUAAACAGAAAGGAGGGCCUUCUUUUGAACUCGUUCCCCCUACUGAACUACUCUGUCCUUAAAGAUUGCGUUUCUGAAGUUCUGAGUACAAGCUCCUUGAACACUUGAUAUCCCUUCAGUGGGCACACCAAGAAUAGAUCCCAACAAGGCAGAGUCUAUUACCAUAUCAACCCCAUUCACCAAGGCACAAAUGUGACCAUCCUCAACCUUGUACAAGUCGGCAUAAAAGCUUUGAACUUCCUCCUAAUAUACCCUAGCAACAUCAUUUGUGAACAAGUGUGUCCAUUGUUGGAAAUCACAUAUCUCAACUAACUGUCUCAUACCAGCCUCCUCUAAGACAUCAGAGGCGAAUGUGCGCCCCUAUAGUACCUUUUGACUUCUCAAUCUUUUUUUCCCAACACUCCUCGGAUCAUCGGCUUUGGCCUUCUUUGAGGAACCAGGUUCCUCAUUAAUAUCAACCUUUCUCUUAGCAGUCUUGCGAACACCUUUCUCCUUUUUAUCAGACUUCAUAGAUUUUUCACCUAACUCUUUCUCCACAUUCUCAGUAGCAAUAGCAUCAGCAGACCUUGUCUGACGUUUAUUAGACAUAAAAGAUCCCCCUUUUGGUUUGAGAAGACCAACCUUUUGUGACAACUUCCUAGUCAAUGUACUAGGUUCCUCCGCUUGUUCUUCAUCCACACUCACAACCGACACUAUCUUCUCAUUUACAACUUUGCCAUCUUUCACCAAUUUUCUUCUCCUUGAUUUAGUCUGACUGUUCUUAAGAGUAGAGUCAAGAGCCUCAUUCUUUUACAACCUUGUUGUGGGUUGCUUAGGAGUGGUCUCUCCACCAACAGCUACUCUACGCCUAGGCAGACUGGCAGUUGGUAAGUGAUCAGAAUCUUCUUUACUAUCCUCCUUUUGAUUUUCAGAUACAAGACCUUUCUCAGGCAUAAUUACACUUAGAGGCUCAACAUCUAAAUGAGGAGAGAGAGCAAGGUCAGUACUGACCUGGGGUUCCUGAGUUGGAUCCUUCGAAGGCGGAUCAGGUCCUCCAGCAGGUUUCGUAAUAGCACCUUCCUGUGCUGAAGGUUCAACAGGCACAUGCUCAUUAUCCUCUCCAACAUGCUCAGAUUAUUCCCCCUGAGUCUUAAGACCAUCCUCACAUCCUCCGCCAAAAACCCCUUCAUUGGCAAUGGACGACAUAUUUUCGAUUGCUUUCUUUUCUUGCAGAUUCAUGAGUAGUUGAGGAGAAGUAGGAGAGGCACCCGUGGAUGGGGAUUCAGGAGCAGUCUUUGUUAAGUCAAUGAUUUUAUUUCCCUUAACCUGGUCUUCUUUUGACUUUUCUUCUAUAGGAGAACUUGAGAUUUUUCGAUUUUUUCAUUCUCAGCAAUACUCAUGACAUCCCUCUUUUUUGGCGAGGUAAGAGAAGAGAUCUAGGGCAACACCUCAUGCGAGGGUUGAUACUUGGUGAAUCUUGUGAAAGCAGGAAUUUGAAGGGGUAGGAGCGCAGAUGGAGUGUGGGGGUGACUCUGUUCUAGGGUUUUGGUUAUCAGUAGUGUGAGGAGAAAAGUCGGGCAUUAGUGUUUCGACUGGCGAGGACUCGAUAGUACUAGAGAGCAUUUGAUCUUCAACCAUGGUGGGAAGAAGAGAGAAGAUUUGGUGAACUGAAGACAGAAAGAAUAGGAAACAGGUUUGGAAGUGUUGAUAUGUGAAGUGCGGUAACAGAGAUAGAUGUAUUUAUGAUGACAGAGGGAUCAGUUAGAAAAAGGGCAGCAAGUUUUAGAGAGAUGGGUCGAUUUAUAACUGGUGAGGCGUUUGGGUUCAAAAUAUGUAAAGCUAAAAACUGAUAUUUUGAUGAUGUGGCAUUUGUUUUAAUUGUUCAAAAUUGUGCAUGAGAGAACAGAGAAACUACUAACCUAUGUCAGGAGAACCAGGUUCCCUGACUGAUCUCUUGUCUGUAAGCUUUGCCCUUUUUACCAGUGUAUACAACCUCAAAUACUUAUUUUUCUCUGUAAUCAUCAAGUGUGUCUACCUAUAACGGUAUAUAGAUGAGUUAGACUUUGCCAUAAAACACCUUUUAGAUAAGUUUACCUGAACCUUUCUUUCACAGCCAAUCAUUGAGGGACCAGGUUCUCAAUUAGGCUUUAUCAACCCCAAUGCCAGACGAUUUUGCUCGAAGUGUUCUCUGCUCAAGGCUUUGGUAAAUAUAUCUGCAAUUUGGUCUCCAGUGCUACAAAAUUUCAUGCAUAUAAGUCCUUUCUCAACAUUGUCUCUGAGGAAGUGGUGACAUACAUCAAUGUGAUUAGUCCUCUUAUGAUGAACUGGAUUUUUUGCCAUAUUGAGUGCACUAGUAUUAUCACAUAAGAGAGGCACACAAUCUGAGAAUACUCCGAAAUCUUCGAAUUGUUGCUUGAUCCAUAGAAGUUGAGCACAGCAAGAGGCAACUGCUAUAUAUUCAGCUUCUGUAGUUGAAAGUGCCACAGAGUUCUGCUUCCUUGUACCCCAUGAGAUUAAGCAGGAAUCCACGAAGUGUGCCAUUCUAGACGUGUUUUUCCUGUCCACCAGAUAUCCUGCAUAAUCAGCGUCAACAUACCUAAUAAGAUCAAAGCUAUCUUCUCAAGGAUAAUAGAUGACCAGGUCCUGUGUUUCUUUGAGAUAUCUCAGUAUUCUCUUGGCAACCUUUAGAUGAGAUUCCUUUGGACUAGAUUGAAACCUUGCACAGAGACCCACGUUAAAAAUAAUGUCUAGUCUGCUUGUAGUGAGAUAUAAUAGUGACCCUAUGAUCCCUCUAUACAUGGUCUGGUUUACAGGGGAACCAAGUUCAUCCAUGUCUAGACGAGUGGCUGUUGUAAUGGGCGUGUCGAUAACUUUUGAUGCUUCCAUAUCAAACCUUUUCAGCAGCUCCUUGAUGUACUUUUGCUGACUUAUUAAUGUUUCAUUCUUAGAUUGUUUCACUUGAAGUCCUAGGAAGAAAUUCAGUUCUCCCAUCAUACUCAUCUCGAAUUCGCUCCCCAUGAGUUUUGCAAAUUCUUCGCAAAGAGAGUCAGUUGUGGCAACAAAGAUGAUAUCAUCAACAUACACUUGAACAGUGAGUAGGUUCCUCCCUCAUCUCUUUAGAAAAAGAGUGUUGUCAAUCUUCCCUCUUGCAAAGCUAUUUUUCGGAAGGAAUUUUGACAACCUUUUAUACCAAGCCCUGGGAGCCUGUUUUAACCCGUACAAUGACUUAUCUAGUUAAACACAUGAUCAAGGUGCUCGUGACACUCAAAACCAGGAGGCUGCUAGACAUAGACUUCUUCUUUCAAAUAGCUAUUUAGAAUGCACUUUCGACAUCCAUUUGGAACAGUGUGAACUCCAUAUAAGAUGCAAAGGCAAUUAGAAUUCUAAUGGCGUCCAUUCGAGCUACAAGAGCGAAUAUUUCAUCAUAAUCAAUCCCUUCUUCCUGAUUGUAGCCUUGAACCACAAGCCUUGCAUUAUUUCUUGUUGUAUUUUCAAACUCAUCAGGUUUGUUUCUGAAUACCCACCUGGCUUCUAUAAUGGUUCUAUCAGCAGGUCGAGGAACCAGGUGCCAUACCUUAUUCCUUUCAAAUUGGUGCAGCUCCUCUUGCAUAGCUAUGAUCUAGUAUGUAUCUUUCAGCGCUACUUUCAUAUUUUUAGGCUUUAUUUGGGAAACAAAACUGAGAAGUCAAGUGAGUUUCUUGCUUUCGAUCUGGUUUGAACUCCUGGGUCAAGAGGAGUGAUUAUGUUGUCAAGAGGAUGUGAACUUUUGAACAUACAAUUUGGUUCCUGAGUCUCAUUGGUGGAGGAACCAGGCAUAUCUGACUGGGGUUCUUGAGCACUUCUUACUUCAUAGAGUGGAGUUCCAUAGACUGCAUCAACAACUCUGUUUUCAGCUUCAGUUGUUGCAAUUGGGGGACCAGGUUCUCUCCAAUUGAUGGAGAUGUAUUUGUAUCUUCUUCAUUGGAUUCCUUGAUAUGGCUCAUCAUGUCUUCCUUUCCAUUUACCAUGUCAAUUACUUCACCUGGCAUAGAUAAGGGCUCUCCAUCUUGAUCAACAUAUCUGUCCUUCUCACCGGAGAGGUAAGCUUCAUCAAAGAUCACAUGAAUGCUUUCUUCGACACAUUGAGUCCUUUUGUUGUAAACCUUGUAAUCUUUGCUUUGAGAUGAGUAUCCCAGAAAAAUUCCUUCAUCACUUUUGGCAUCGAACUUCCCAAGAUCUUCCUUUCCAUUGUAAUGAAUAAAGCAUUUACACCCAAAAGUUCUUAGAUGUAUCGGCUUGGGCUUCCUUCCAUUCAACAGUUCAUAUGAUAUGCACCUAUUUACCAAGUAGCACACAGUAUUAACAGCUUCUACCCAGAAAUACUUUACGAUCCCACUGUCAAUUAGCAUUGUUAUUUACAUGUCUUUGAGAGUACUAUUUUUCGUCUCCACAACGCCAUUUUGUUGAGGUGUUCUUGGAUCAGAAAAAUUGUGAGUGAUGCCAUUUUCAGUGCAUAACUCAUCGAAUUUGACAUUGUCAAAAUCCAUCCCAUGAUCAGACCUGAUGCAGGCUACUUUAUUACCCAUCUUCACUUGGAUCUUUUGGACAAAGGCAAAAAACACUUCAAAGGUUUCAUCAUUGGUCCUGAGGAACAAAGUCCAGGUGAAUCUGGAAUAGUCAUAAACUAUCACAAAGAUGUAUUUUUUUCCUCCUCUUCUUAGUACCCUCAUAGGUCCACAUAGAUCCAUGUGAAAAAGAUCAAGUGGCCUUGCGGUACUGACUUCCUUUUUGGGCUUGAAUGAGGAUCUGACUUGCUUCCCUUUUUCACAUGCAUCACACACUUUGUGAUCCUUGAUGAUUUGACUUGGGCAGACUACAAACCAACUCCUUCUUGACUAAUUUGGUUAACACUGUGAAGCUUGCAUGACCUAGCCUCUUGUACCAUAAUUUAGUAUCAUCAUCAACAACGCUUAGGCAGCUUAGAUCAUUAUUCUUCAGGGACUCAAAGUUAGCUACAUAGAUAUUCUUAUAUCUUUUUGCCACUAGCACCACCUCACCGGUCAUCAGGUUUUUGACUGUACAACGUUUUGACACAAAUUCCACUUUGUUUCCCUUGUCACAGAUUUGGGAAACGCUUAGCAAGCUAUACUUCAAUUCGUUCACGUAGUACACAUUUUCGAUUGAGUGAGAAAGAGACUUUCCAAUCCUUCUGAUUCCCAGAAUGUAUCUGUUUUUUCCAUUUCCAAAGGAUACAAUCCGUCCUUGCAGGUCCUUAAGUGAAAGGAAAUCAUUUGUACUUCCAGUCAUGUGCUUUGAGCAUCCACUGUGCAUGUACCAUUGUAGGCUACUCCGUUUCACUGUUCCCUACAUAAGAAAAGUUAGAAGUUAGCUUUAGGAACCCAAACUAAUUUGGGUCCCUUGUAAUGAGGAAAGGGGUGAAUCAAGGAUUUUUUGGUUCAUGCAGGUAUUAUGCGUUUUUUUAAAAGAAGACUAGGUUCUCUACUAGUAGUUACUUUUUCAGCAAAUGAUUUGUUUUUCUGCUGUGAUAAAAUCUGGCCUUACAGUUUUAUUUAAGGUGCCCAUUAGUACCGCAGUGGGUGCAAAGCCAAUUGUCAGGUAUAGUAACAUACUUGCUAUGAGGGUUGUAAGGAAUCUUUUCCCUUUGAAGCCCAAUCCCCUGCUUGUUUCACCCAUUGUUGGAGUACAUGGCAGUGAUAGCAUCAGAGGACCAGGUCCACUUGAGUGAUUUUUCAAGAUCACUCUUCAAUCUACUUAGUUCUUCCUGAAUUUGUUUGUUUUUCUCAAGCUCAGCACACAGACUAAACUUCACUGAAUUUAGCUCACUUUCAAGAUUAAUGUGUGCCUCGCUUGCAACUUCCUUUCCUUUUUGAUAAUUUUCAGCCCUACUCUUCAUUAUAGGUUUCCCAAUAGUUUCCUUCAAAUCCCUUACUACCACUAGAAGGUCAUCUCUUUCUUGUUCUACAUUUUCAAUCCUUUUUUCUAAGACAUUUCUUUCUUUCUUUAGGCUCUCAAUUGACUAUCUUAGAUCAACUGCAACUAUUACUAGGUCAUCUCUAGACUGUUCUGCUUCUCCUAGUUCAACUGUUAAGACAUCUCUAUCAUAUAUAAGACUAUGAUAAGCAUCGAUUAGCACAUUUGCCAAAGACAUGAGUUUCUUAGUAGAAUAAGAUUUCAGAUUUCUCUGAACAUCCAAAAUUUACCUCAUCACCAUUGUCAUCUUCAUCAUCAGACUGGGCCAUCAAAGCAAAAAUUGAAUCAUACUCGGUUGCUUCAAUUUCUACUGCCAUCAUAGAGCUAUUACCUGAUUCAUCAUCUUCUCUAUAUUCGCUUGAUGAAUCUCCCCAUGCAGCAAGAGCUUGUCUCACGACUUUGUCCGCGGCAUUUUUUUCUAUUGAAGCGUCUGUCAUGAAAUAGGUUCCUUUUAGUUGCUUUGUCAGAGUUGUUCUUGUAUUGAUCCUGCUUUAGGAGAGGGAAAUCCUUGAUGAAAUGUCCUGGCUUGCCACAUUUAUGACAGAGGUUAUAGUUCUUUGGCUUGCUAGAACUUCCCUUUUUUGGCAUGCCUCCAUUUCUGUGAAUCAUCUUCUGGAUUCUUCUUGUUAGGUAUGAUAUAUCACCAUCCUCACCACUUGAGUCAUUGUUUUCUGUCUUGAGGACCAGGUUCUUCUCCUUCUUGGGCUCUCCUCUUUCACUGUCCUUCUUCUUCUUCUUCUUCUUCUUCUUUAUUUCAUAUGUUUUUAGAUUGCCAACAAGCUCAUCAAUAGUUAGCUUCUACAAGUCCUUCGCCUCUGUAAUGGCAUUCACUUUGCUUUCUCAAGAACUGGGAAGCACGCUUAGGAUCUUUCUAAUCAGCUUGUUUCUUGGAAUAGUUUCACCAAGGGAGUGAAUCUCAUUAAUGAUGGAGGUGAAUCAGGUAUGCAUUUCUUGGACAAAUUCAUCGUCUUGCAUCCUGAAGAGCUUGUAUUCAAUUGUGAGCAUGUCAAUUUUGGAUUUCUUGACCUGUGUUAUUCCUUUAUGAGUUGUUCGAAGGGCUUCCUAGAUUUCUUUGGCUGACUGACAUGCUGAUAUCAUAUUGUAUUCUUCAGGUCCAAUAACUCACACUAGAAUUUUCUUAGCACGAAAGUUCUUCUCUAUGGCCUUUCUAUCUACAUCAUUAGAUUCUUUCUUUGUCUUGGGAAUGGCUGCUGGUGGGUUGCCAAGGUUUUUUGUAGGAACAAAGGGUACAUCACAUAAGACAUCCCAUAGCUCAGAAUCUUUAGCUAUGAUGAAGUCAUGCAUUCUAGUUUCCCACUAUCCAUAAUACUUCCAUUGAACCUAGGUGGUCUGUAAGUAGACUCGCCUUCUUCGAAGUUUGGAGGAGCAACCAUGAGGAUCAUUUCUAGGUGUUAACCUAAUAGAAAGAACCUACUCUGAUACCAACUGAUAGAAUAUAAGGGUCCGUCAAACUCUAUAGAGAAUCAGGUUCUCUAUCAGCUUCAAUAGUACACACACAUACAGUAGUAAAUAAAUGACAAGAGAAAUUUUAUGUGGAAAAUUUCCAGCUCAACGGGAUUAAAAACCGCGACCUACCCUUGUAGGAUUUCAACUUCACUAUUGAGCAACUUUCAAAUUACAAUCUAUGCAACCUAGGAAUUAAACUCUUAAUACCUCACUAACUUGUAAUACUCUAUUACAAGCCACUUUGUAAUAACUCUAUUACAAACACUUUACAAUAUGACUAACUCUAACCAAGACUAAAACACGCUGGUUUAAGGUUUACAAGGGGUUCCUAUAGAAUUCUUCAAAAUAAGCUAGAUAGGAAUUACAAUUGAAGAACUAUUACAAAGUCACAACUCAACUAAGGACAUACAAUAAUUCGAUGCGGGAACUGGUCCAUAGUUACUUUGUUCUUUUUUCUUGAAGCACUUGAAACUCGCUUGCUCGAUUUCACGCCGGUAGUCUUUUAUUGUGGAAUCUUUAAGUUUUCAAGUAUUGUGUUUUACCUCCCUUAAAUGUAUAUAUAUAUGUGUAACAUAACUUACAGUGAUGUAAGCAAGGUAGGUAAAAAGUUUUCCCUAAAAAGUUGAUUGGAUCACUGUUUCCGCACUGUAGCGUAUGCAGGCAGCAACUUUCCAUCUGGAGAGUUGACUUCGUACAGUCUCCUUGGGAACUGGUAGGGACCUAUUUCCUCAGUUGUUCCUUCCACUCUAAAGAGUUGAAUCAUAACGCAGGUUGGAUCCCAAACUGGAACCUUGUGAUCUUAAGGUUUUGUAAAUGUGUAACAUGUUCCUUAUCUGGUUCUGGAUAGUAAGUUUGUUAGAUCAUCAAAACAUAAAGUAAAGUACUUAUGACCAAAGUACUUGUAACCUAUCAAUAAUCUCAAUAAAAUAAAUUGAAGAGUAUACUAUUUUAAUCAUAAUAUUUUACAAUAUAUAAAUAUUAUCAUAUCCUUGGCAAAUUUAAAGUCACAACAUAUUUCUCAAACAUAUCUCUAGAUAUUGAUUUUGUAAGAAAAUUGUUUGCCCUUGAAAUUAGAUAACAAUUGAAUUUGUGCGUAGUUCUAAGGAAACGUAACACUAUUUGAUACAAAUAUGAAAUAAUGGUUUAAUAAAGGAAACAACAAUGCAAGUAUAAACAAAACCUUCGCAAAUAGAGCCAACCUUAGCUCCGAGAUUGAUCUUUCUUUUUCAAUGGAGAUAAUGAAGUAUGGGAUAGAGCAUAAAAUGGACAACAACUUGAAAUUAAUAGUAUAUUUUUUUCAGUAUUACAAUGUGUCUUUCACUAAUUCACUUCACCUUAUUUAUAGGGGCAAACCUAACCCUUUUUGCAUUAUUCUAUAGAAUAAUUAUGGGUCUUAUUGACCGUUGGGAAUUGUUCUUACUAAUGCCAUAUUUGCGUUGUAAUAUUUGGUUAGUAGAGAAUAUUAUGGUCCAUUGCCGGCUGAACUGGCGAUGCUUUCUCGAGGCUCAUAGGGAUAGGACCAGGCACACCCUUCAUACCUAUCGAGGGUGGGCUUGAUGAUCUCGAUUGAUAUCGAUAGUCAUCCGAGAUUUUGUAUAGCUCUAUCGAUGUGCUCUUCCUUUGUUCUUGAUAGCUAUUCGCAAGUUAUUUCAGUUGAUAUUCGAUACCACGUCGGAUCAGAUGUUAGGCUUGAUAAAUACCUUCAUUGACUGACCCUUGAGCAAGGUCGAACACUCGAGGGUCGAUCUAGUUCGAUCCCCAUGUUCGGUUUUACCCGUAGUCGACCACUCGAGGGUUGAUCUAGUUCGAUCCCCAAGUUCAGUUUUACCCAUAUACAAAUAGCCCCCUCGUUUCUUAGAAAGCCAGUGAUAAGAAACAAUAAGAACCUCUGGCUCUUACUUUGAUAGGCCAUGAUAUAAGCAAUGAAAAGUCAUCAAUGUCUUGUCGACAUAUUUUUCAAGGCAUUAAUAGUGUGUCAGUUGGCUGUCGGCCAUUAUAGGAAUUGAACCAUCAAUUGAAACCUGUAAAUACCCUUCCCCUACUGUUGAAACCUUUGCUUUCACAAGAGAAUCAUUUUCAUCGCCACUUUCAGAAGUCUUCUGUGUUUUCAAAACCUUAUUCUUGCCAAUUUGUUUGCGUAUUUUUGGUUACUUUACCGCAGAAUUGUUAACACCUUUUUUCAACUUUUCUUUAUUUAUAAAAAAUGGCUAAAACUUCUCAAACCAUCCCUUAAAAAGAGAAAUCUUCAUCGUCACAGCCUGUAGGAAAGGUAAAAGUGAUUGUGGAGCCGCGCUCUGAGGAAUUACUCCCUCUGUCGUGCGUCAUCGAUUUCGAUAUCGAGAAAUGCUCUUCGAAAUCGGGUCGAUGUGAACCAAUUUCGAGGUAUAUUAGUUUGAUCCCCAAUAACUUUCUUUCCCGAGUAAAAAAUGAUUGCAAUUGGGGUGAUAAGCAUGAGGUACUGCCUGAUCUCGAAGAGUCGAUCACGACCUAUAAGGAGGGGUUCUUGAGUGUUUACACUUACCCCAUCAUAUUGGAUCCUAUUGAUCCGAUAAUAAUCAAUUUCUGUAAGAAGUACGAGAUUACUCUCCGUCAAAUACACCCUUCAUUUUGGAGAAUAGUGAUACUUCUUCAUUUUUUGUAAGUAAAGUCGAUGGUCUUCCCUUCACCUUUGACCACUUAAUUCGUCUUUAUAGCCCCCGACUCUAUUCGAGCGGAUUGAUAAAACUUCAGAGUUGAGCUUCUAAGGCACCCAUCUCGAGCCUUGAGGAGGAUAAAGAUCGAGGCUGGAUGAGCCGUUUUGUUCGGAUCAAGACUUCGAACUUGAUUCCACCCGAGAGCAUGCCGUUCCCUGAGAGGUGGAACAUGAAACAUAAGUGUAAUUAGAUUUAUGAUCUCUGUUAAUUGUUUUUCAUUUCCCUAAACAUGUUAUUUGAUACUGUCGUUUCCUGGAUUCCUGAGGCAAUUCCCAAUCUUGAGCAUUGGGUACGGAGCUUGGCAUCUCAGUCCACGCACGUCAAGCGUGCAUGGCACGAUUUAGCGAAGGGCCAGUGGGAGGCUAGUAACCAUGGUAAGUGUCUCUGAUUGCCUACUUGACCAUUUGCUCGAACCUUUCUCGAACUUGUGUCAUUCUUCCCCUUUUUAUAGGCCUCGGGAAGGACGUGAUGAUGAGGCCCCCACCCAGUGAAGUAGCAGACCUCCCUCUCCAUCAAUUCUAAAGUCAUUUAAGGAAAAGAAAUUGAAAGAGAUAUCGAGCUCCUCGAAAUCAGGGGGACAGGAGCCGAAAAAGAGGAAAUCCCGUACGUUAAAAAAGAUUGCUCCUCUAUCUAUGGAGUCGGUCUUCUUGCCGAGGGACGAACCUGAAGAAGUAGAAGGCAAUGAUUUGAUGGCUCGAUCAAGAGCUGGCAUAGAUGUUCGAGGGACCCUAGAAUUGGAGGGGGUCAAAAUAGCCCCCCGUCGACUUGAUGAGCUCGAGAAGGUUGAUGAUCCUCAGUCUUAGAGUCCGAAUACGGCCGAUGACAUGACUGGCACUGGUGCAGAGUCCAACCUAAAUGUCCUUCGAAUUGAAGGUAUCUCCGAAAUCCCGGUCGGGGCGGUAAAUGCUAAAGUUUCUUCAUCUUUCACUGACUAGAUGAUUCGAGAUGCCCAAGCAAUGGAAGCUUGUCAUACCGAAGGGGUUCAAGGGUCAGAGGACCCUUUCAGAAACUACUUUGUCUGAGUGGAAGAUGCCUCUGGUUUUGGUGGCUUGGCAAUGCCGAGAAGGAACUUGAGUGAAGCUUCUUCAAAUCCUGGGUUGACUAACCAAUUUUCGGCCCCCAGUAUUAACCCUGGUCGAAAACGGUCGAUUGUUAUCUCAAUCCCAGAGGAUGCUAGUCUUUUCUCCUCUCGUGGGGUAAGCUAGCUAUCUCCGAUGCUUGGUGACCGAAGAAGACCAGGCCAAAAUGGAUGCAGUAGAAAUACCUUACCUUUUUAACGAAGCUCAAUAGGCUUUGAAUCGGGUAAACCCAUAUUCCCAUAUUGUCCUUCUCGAUUUGAUACUUCUUUGUUAUUAUUUUUGCUACUUUAUAGGCUUCGCUUUUGCAUCAUGACGCCUUCUUUCGGCUCCAUGGGGAGAGAUCCAUUAUGAGUCUGAAUUUUAAAGUCUUACUGAGGAAAAGGGUGCCCUCAAACAUCUCAGUGAUCAGAAAGAGAGAGAAAUUCAACACCUUCAGGAUGAGCUAAAGAAGGCCCAAAAAGAACUCACCGAUCCGGACGAGCAGGUAAGGAGAAUUUUUGAAGUUAAUGUUGUUGGCCUGAGAACAGUGAUUGAUGGUUCGAAUCCGCAGGUUCAGUAGAAGAUCGAUAUGAUCAACCAGCUACAUGAGAAAGUGGGAGAAAUAAUGGCAAAGUCCAAGCGAUGCAAAAUAAUAUGGAUCAGCUUUCCUUAGAAAAAGAGACCGCUCCGGCCCAACUGUCUUCGGUCGAAGCCCAGCUACGAAGUGCAAAAGAGGAAACCUUGGUAAAAGUCGAGAAGAUCAAGGAACUCCAAUCUCAGUUGGGUUCGGAAGAUUUAGUUAGGGUGAAUAUGAUCGCGGAGCUCGAGGGGGACAAGUUGAAGAUAAAAACAACCAAGAACGAAGUUGAUGCAAUGGUGGCUAUUUAUCGAGCUGAUGCUUUAGCCGCUUAGGUUUGAUCAAAUGAAGUUGUCGAGGCUGCUCAGGUACGAGCACAUUGGAUUGCUGAGCACAUUAAGCACCAGUCUCAAAGGGAGACUCUGGAGGAGAUCCAUGCCCAUGGCUUCAAACUUUCGGUUGAAAUCAAAAAAUCCAAGGAACUGGAAGCUGAGGCCAAGGGUUUAGCUUACCCUAUUGAUGAUGACUCCAAGAGCUCAAGCGGGUCCGAAAGUGGAGAGGAUACCGAGGGUGAAGAUGCUGAUACUGGUGGGGACUAGGCCUUAUAGGGUUUUAUUUGUCGUGUUUUUUGUUGAAGCCUUUUCUGUAAAGAAUUUCCUUUGGCCGAAGUUGCCCUUAUAAAUAAUUAUUGAUGCGUAUAUAAAAAAAAUUCUCUCAUCUCAUGUAUGAAUUUGCAUUGAGCACUUUAAUCUUUGAGCUCAACAUAACUUCGCCCUUAGGCGUUUGUGGUCAAGAUAAUGUACCCUCAGUCGCAGCCCCAAAGUAAGAGUUUGCUUGAACUUGUAGUAGUGUAGCCCUUAGGCUUAAUGGUCGAGUGAGAGUUGUUCGAACUCAAAAUAAUGUAGUCCUUAGAAUUAGUGGUCGAGUGAGGAUUGCUCGAAUUCGGAAUAAUAUAGCUAUUAGGCUUAGUGGUCGAGUGAGGGUUGUUCGAACUCAAAAUAAUGUAGCCCUUAGGCUUAGUGGUCGAGUGAGGGUUGCUCGAACUCGGAAUAAUGUAGCCCUUAGGCUUAGUGGUCGAGUGAGAGUUGCUCGAACUUAAUAUAUUGUAGCCUUUAGGCUUAGCCCCCGAGUGAGGAUUGCUCAAAAUCGAAGUAAUGUAGCCCUUAGGCUUAGUAGUCGAGUGAGGAUAGCUCGAACUCGGAAUUAUGUAUCCCUUAGGCUUAAUGGUUGAGUGAGGGUUGCUCGAACUCGAAAUAAUGUAUCCCUUAAGCUUAGUGGUUGAGUGAGGGUUGCUCGAACUCAAAAUAAUGUAGCCCUUAGGCUUAGCCCCCGAGUGAGGAUUGAUCGAACUCGAAGUAAUGUAGCCCUAAGGCUUAGUGGUCAAGUGAGGAUUGCUCGAACUCAAAAUAAUGUAGCCCUUACAGCCCCCGAGUGAGGAUUGCUCAAACUCGAAAUAAUGUAGCCCUUAGGCUUAGCCCCCGAGUGAGGAUUGUUCGAACUCGAAUUAAUGUAUCCCUUAGGCUUAGCCCCCGAGUGAGGAUUGCUCGAACUCGAAAUAAUGUAGCCCUUAGGCUUAGCCCCAGAGUGAGGAUUGUUCAAACUCGAAGUAAUGUAUCCCUUAGGCUUAGUGGUCGAGUGAGGAUUGCUCAAACUCGGAAUAAUGUAGCCCUUAGGCUUAGUGAAAAUUGGGUGUGACAAAAUGUUUGAAAAUACCAUUCGUGUGAACUGAUGUUAUAUGAGUACAACCUUUUAAAACUUGAGUAGUUUACGUGGGCACGGUUAGCUUUGACCAUUUCACCCGUAUAAUGAUUUCGUCUUGCCGAGGGACUUCUAAUUUGAACACUUUUUCUUGUCAUAGUUGGUAUCCAUAUCCGAGGGGUGCCCCCGAGUAUUUGAGGUUGAAGGUAGAUGAAACCUCGGAUACUGUUGAUUUGACACUAUUAUUUCCUCGUUCUGAGUCAUCACGAUUCAUUGUUUCCUCAUUAAAAACCUUGCCGAAAAAACUCAUUGGGUAAAAACCGGUUCAAGGGAAAAAGAGUGCAACACGUGCUUUCAGUCUUCAGGUUCCUCAUUGUACUUUGUCGAUUAUCUACAAUGGUUAGAUUCCAAGAUGUCAAAUGUGUUUAAUGGAGGUCGUACCUUAGCAAUAGUAUCAUUUUAGGUGUGUUACAUUCCAAUUGCUAGGUAACUCUCAGUCGUCCAUUGUCCCUAGCUUAUAAGAUCAUUUCCUAGUGAUUUUGAGAAUUUGGUACAAACCUUCCCAGUUUGGGACCAACUUCCCUUCAUUUGGAUUUUGCGUAUUUAAUGUGACAUUUCUUAACACCAAGUCUCCGAUUUUGAAGUAUCUAAGCUUGGUCCUUCGAUUAUAAUACCUCUCGAUUUUCUGCUUCUAGGCGGCCAAUCGAAUAAGGGCAAUUUCGUUAUCUUUUGUCUAGUAGUUCCAAGUUUGUAAGCAUGGCUUCAUUCCUAGAUUCAUCUAUUGUGUAUUGAAAUCUGAUACUUGGUUCACCAACUUCGACCGGUAUAAGGGCUUCAGUGCCGUAGACUAGUGAGAAUGGUGCGUCCCCAUUACUGGAUCUCGAGGUUGUUAUAUAUGCCCAAAGGACUUUGGGUAGAAUCUCCCUCCAUCUUCCCUUUUCUUCAGUUAAACUUUUCUUAAGGUUUUGGAUAAUGGUACUGUUUGUUGAUUCUGCUUGUCCAUUUGCACUGGGGUGAUAGGGCAUUGAUAAGAUUUUACUAAUUUUGUGAUCCUCGAAAAAUUUCGUGACUUUGCUACCAAUGAACUGCUUCCCAUUGUCACAUACAAUUUUAGAUGGUAUCUUGAAUCAUCACACGAUGUGGUCCCAAAUAAAAUCGAUCACUUCCUUUUCCCUAAUCUUCUCGUAUGCUUGAGCUUUACCUUAUGCCCGUGGGAGAGGGCCGACGAUGUCCAUCUCCCACUUCAUGAAUGGCCAUGGUGAUAUGAUCGAGUGUAGUGGUUCCCCAGGCUGGUGAAUCGAUGGUGCGUGUUUUUGGCGCCCAUCACAUUUUUGUACGAACUCUUUUGCAUCUUUUUCUAUGUCGAUCCAAUAAUAUCCAGCUCAGAUUAUCUUUUGAGCUAAUAGUUUGGUGCCUGAGUGAUUACCGCAAGUGCCCUCAUGAAUUUCUAUAAGAAUGUAAUAAAUGUCUCGCGGCCCGAGACAAAUAGCAAGUGGGCCGUCGAACAUCCUUUUGAAUAAGAUCUCGUCUUCAGAUAGGCUGAACUGGGCUGCUUUUGUGCAUAGAGACCUCGAUUCUUUUGGGUCCUUCGGUAAACUCCCUGUUUUGAAGUAUUAUAUGUACUUGUUUCUCCAAUCACAAGUUAGGCUUAUGGAGUUUACUUCGAUUUGGCCUCCUUCUGUCACCGAAUUUCUCAAUUUCAUGACUACCUCUGAUUUGGGUUUGUCAUCUUCGGCCAUCGAGCCUAAGUUUGCCAGGGCAUCAGCUUUACCGUUCUGGUCUCGAGGAAUGUGUUGUACAUUCCAUCCUUUGAAUCGAUGUAAAGUCAUUCGUAGCUUGACGAGGUAUCUUUGCAUUCGUUAUUCCCUGACCUCAAAUGCACCAUUUAUUUGGUUCACUACAAGGAGAGAGUCAGAUUUAGCCUCGAUCACCUCUGCCCCUAAGAUUAUUGUGAGUUUGAGACCUGCAAUUAUGGCCUCAGAUUUGGCCUCAUUGUUAGUCAGUUUCAAAGUUCUGAUCGAUUGUCUAACUAUGUUGCCCGAGGGUGGUUUCAGCACUAUGCCAGGCCCGGAUCCCUUCCCAUUCGACGCAUCGUCUAUAAAUAAGGUCCAGGUUCCCGAAGAGGCCUUCGAGCUGGCCACCAUUUCUUUAUUAGCUUCGGGAAUCAGAGCUGGUGUAAAAUCGGCUACGAAAUCUGUCACACCUCCUUUUUCCCAAGGAGAUAGGGAGUUUUUCCAAUUUAAGUGACAUAAUCGAAAAGGGAUUAUUUAUUUAUUCAGAGUCGCCACUUGGGAUAAUUUAUGGUGUCCCAAGUCACCCUUAUUUUAAAUCCCAAAUCGAGGAAAUUGACUUUUAUUUAUGGUUUGCGAACACAGAAGACCGGGUAAGGAAUUCNNNNNNNNNNNNNNNNNNNNNNNNNNNNNNNNNNNNNNNNNNNNNNNNNNNNNNNNNNNNNNNNNNNNNNNNNNNNNNNNNNNNNNNNNNNNNNNNNNNNNNNNNNNNNNNNNNNNNNNNNNNNNNNNNNNNNNNNNNNNNNNNNNNNNNNNNNNNNNNNNNNNNNNNNNNNNNNNNNNNNNNNNNNNNNNNNNNNNNNNNNNNNNNNNNNNNNNNNNNNNNNNNNNNNNNNNNNNNNCCUAUUGUGCAUUUUAACUCUAUUACCGCUUUUAUUUUUAUUUAUAAAAUUAUUUAUGGAACAAGACACAAUUGUCGUACACUUAUCGUUUUUAACACAUUGUGAAUCGCGUCUCAUGAAAUGCACCUGCAGUUUACAACAUGUUUAUUUUUAUUACUAAUGUUCAAAGUUAUAGUCGGGUCACAUGAAAUGCAAACUCGAAUUGCGGAUUAGGUACCACGACCAUGCCAUGGGAACCGUACCCAUAGCCGUGAUGAUUUAUUUAUUAAUCGUGCCUAAAGCAAGCUACAAUAUUCAUAAAUGGUGAUUAAUUUCCCUAAUAUUUGACGUUCGUUUAUAAAAGAUCAAAAAGUUGUGGAUAAGGAUAGAUUUUAACAGGGGAAAAACUAAAGAAAUUAGUCCAACAUAACUUUUUAGAUGUAGAGUGGUAAACGAUUUUGCAGACAACUGAAAGUGUGGACUCCCGUUACUUAGGACUUAAUGGAAGUUAGCAUUUUUAAGAGCUUCAUUUAAUAAAAAAAAACGCAGCAGCCAUAUUUUCAACAAAAAAAAAAAGUUAAACCAAGGCUCAACUUUCAUGAUUCGAAUAACUCUAAGAUUGUCUUAUCCCAUAGAAACUAGAUGCAAUAGGUGGAUAUAUUCAGCACUUCGUUCACAAUUAAAUGACUGACAUGAUAGAUAUUUUUCACAGACAAACCAAAGACAAGUUUGGAAAUUAGCAAUUGAAUAACAACGGUUAACAACAAAGUUCUGAACAUCACAAUAUAAGAACCACAUUACUCGAUUAAAUCCCUGCAAUUAAUUUUAUAUCUCAAACAGUAAUACUGUCUUGAACUAAUUAACUGAAUAGGGCAUUCAAGAAUCAAGAUAUACUACUCAAGGGAAGAGGUUUCACUUAGUACAAAUUGAUACAAGAAACUCAUGAAAUUAGAAGCAAGGCCAUGACGUCUUAACUAGUUAACGCUCAUGUCGUUGUAAAAUGAUUUUCAACCCAGCAGCUCCUAUAAUAACGAAAGAGGAAAUUGAUUGAAUCAUAUGGCUUCAGCGAUGCUUAUAGUCUGCUACUCAAGACCUUUCAACACAAACAUAUUUACAUAAAGUUCAAACCACCAUCAUAGUCUCACAGAAAGGAAAAGAAAAAACAGACUUCCCCAAAUCAUUCAAAUCCAUCAAUAGCUUAUUUUGUCGACUCCAAAUCUUAACAGAGCCAAAUGAAUCAAGAACAAGCAAAAAAGCAACAGAACUUAAAACUUUGGCGAAACAUCACUUAAUCAAUAUGAGAAUCAAUAGGUAUACAACAAAAUUUCAUCCCUGAAUCAAAAAUAAGUUAGGAUUUACAUACCAGCAAAGAAACAGACUUAGCAAAACCAAGUAAAGGCUAAGAGCAGCCACAAACUGAAGCUCGGCUACAAUGAUUCACACAAAACGAGUUCGAACAAAAAUUGCGACAAAACCCACAAACCAGCAGCAGGAAUCGAACAGCCGGAAAAAAAUCAAUCUACUCUAAACUCAAUCGAACCCCGUUCUUUGAACACCUGAAUUAAAAGAAGAAGAAAAAGAAUGAAAUUCCAUAAUUUCAUAUAUGUUUUUCUGAAAUUCAAGCUAAACCUUGUAUUUUUUUGUGGAGUAAUAUCAGAACUCAAAAGAAAAGGAAAUAAAAAAAAUCUAGAACGGGUUCAUCCGAAAAUUAGAAGAAAAUUCUCGAACCUUCUGCCCCAAAUCCAAAAAGAAAGUCCUCCAAUCUCUUUGUGUAAACGAUUUUUGAGACAAAUGGAGGGUGUGGAUCGAUUGACAAUCAAUCCAUGGCUCCCACUAAUCUCAAAAUCACUCAACAAGGAAUCUAAACCCGUGAAACCCAAAAAGAAUAAUUAUGUUUGUCAGAAAUAGUUACGCUACGUGGCAAGAGUAGAGAGAAGGGAGUACGUGGGGCGAGUUUGGGGUGAACUCGCCUGAGUUUCAGGCGAUUUUGGGUGGAGUUGGGCGUAGCAGAGACUAGGUUAGAGGGGAUGGGGCGCCGUUUGAAUUAGAAAAAUUAGGGUUAGGUUUUAGGGUUUGGGAAUUAUAAUUGGUUUUUAUAUGAGGUAGGUAAUGGGUCAGGUCUGUGCCAGGUGGGGAGCUGGAUUGGCAGAUUAGAGGGGUUUUUUA
rnacentral:lncRNA from 1 species